AGUGACAAAAAACAUUGCUUGGACCCCUUGAAGAUCUGUGAUGAUAAAGAUCAUUCUUUUUACCUGUGUUAUUUAACAGGCUGAGGAACCCUUGAUUUGGGAACACAAGGAAUCUCCUCAGGAAACAAAAGUAUCCCAGAUGCUAGCACACCUGGUAACACAUCCAUAGAGCUGGCCUCUCACAGCAGCAUAGGUUUGAUGAAACAGAGAGAGAGAAACAGUUUGCAGAAGCACAAAAACAAAUCUACAGAAAUGUUGAUGGAGGUGACACAACUCAUCCCUUCACCUAAAGCCUGAAUGAUGCUUUGGAGGGUGUAGAAUUAAGAAGGCAUCAGCUGAAAUUACAGCUUUGGAGAACAAAAUGGAGGAUUUGGUCGUUGACUGCAACAGAAACUUUCACGUGGAAUAUCACUGCAUAUUUCUGAGACAUGUUUCAUCCAGCCAUAUUCCAUUGAGAAUUGCACCACACACAGAAUGAAGGUGGAAAGGUGAGGACUGUUUUUUAGAUACAGUAAAAGCCCACUGUGAUGCUGUCAAACAAAUAUAACAUAGAACUUGUCCAUGGCAUAAAAUCACAGUAGGUAUUAAUGAACAAGUAGAAAUUAUUGCUCUUUGCCAUUUAAGGAAAAUCAACUUUGCUGCUGCAAACAGAUAGAGUGAUGAAGAAUUGUCAGAUCCUGAUGUGAUAUGGCUCAGCCUUGCUUCAGCUGUUUCACAAGAGUCACCACUAUGGGAAGCUUCAUUUAAGAAGCUCUGGUCUGCACUACCCAAUGUAAUUUUAUACAAAGACUCAUGUUAUGUAUAUAAAACCACUUGAGAUAAGCUCAACAAGUAGGAAAAAAGUCUCCCAGAUCCCAUAGGUGUCAGAGUAAAUUGUGCAGUGUAAAAUCCUGGCUCUUGGGUUCCACCUGCCUGCAGCUGCCCAGCCCGAAUUGAUACCUUGAGGUGUUGCUUUAAGCACUUUUGGGAGCAGCUGGUGGUGCAGGAAACAUUUUGGGGGCAUGUUGUAGAGAAUCAAAGGUUGGAAUGAAAACCUCAGGAUGAUUUCUGAGGAUCUACAGUGAGUUCACCAGUCCUUCCUCUGCUCACCACUGUCUCUCACAGCCAUGCACUUCAAAUGUUCAGCAGAACCAUAUGAUAGAAUAAUCAGGGCUUUUGAGGAAACCAUUUGCAAAUAAAUCUGCCCUACUUUUAUUUUGGUCUUCUCUUUAUUGUGCUGAAUUUUCCUCACUGGAGCAGGUGGUUUUGUUGGGAAAGAACAUGGGUUUUAUUUUUGCUUUUGUUCUCAUUCAUUCUCUUUAAAAAAAAUUCCUGUUAAUUUGACUCUUUCCCUCCUUCUCUCAUCUGGAACAACAGCUAAAGUCUGGAACUGAGCAUCAGUAAAUUCAAACAUAGUUAUGAACAAGUAGCAUUGCACAGAUUUCCCAAGGUAUUGCAUAAUAGAAACAAACAAGCUCCUGCAGUACAAUAUUAAGACAUACAGCAUUUCAGCACUUUCUGUGCUUCCAACAAUUAAAUUACCAUCUACCCUGUGCUGGGCUUCAGGAGGAGGAGCACAAUUCUGUUCCCAUACGACUCUGUGGAGUAUUAAACCUAGUUAUUUUAUUAACUAAAGGCUCUCUUGGGAAAGCCAACUAAAAUUAUCAUAUCCUCUCACACACAUAAUGUAAUUAAGGCCCCUAUACAAAAAGGUACUUAAGCACAUGCUUUACUUUAAGCACAAAGGUAGAGGUCUUGAUUCAAUCAGGAUUACUGCUGGGUUUAAAAUUAAGUGCAUGAGUAAGUGCUUUGUACUGGGGUUCCUAUCAUCAGAGUAGCUAGAGAGCUAUCAGCAGAUAAGUUUUGCCUUGUUAUCCAGAAUUAAAAUGGAUGAGCUACCACACUUUUCCCCCUCAAGUUACUCUCCAUGCCUACUUGGAACUUUCUGCUCAGCAAAACCUGUAGGAACUCUGAGGUCUCAUCUCAAUUAAAACAAAGCAAAGCAAACAAACAACAAGACAUUGCUGGAUUUCUAUGGGUACCAUAUCCUUAUUUCCUUGGUUCAGGCCUUUGGUUGGAAUGCCAUUGGUUGCAAAGUCAUUUAAAUGAUACUAUAUGUUGUCACUGAUUUUCUUUUAUGGCUGUCCUAAUGAACAGUCAGGGGAAGGUGUGGAAAUAAUUGCUUUGAGAGUGAGCUUCUCAGUACACUUUUCCUUUUUUCCACAUGAACAUUAUAUGGUCAUCACUGAGCUGUGAGACUGGGAGUGGUAAUACCCCCAGAAUAUUUCUGUGUCUACAUGCACUUCACUUCUAUGUACAGUGGUCUGUUGUUUCUACUCCAAACCACCAUUCACGUCCUAGAAAUCAGAGAGAAAUCCUCAAAUCAGGACCAAAGAAGGUAAAAGUAACAGAGUAGCUUCUCUAAGUUACCCAUUCUAGAUUUGAACCGUCUUACUGCAAGGAUAAUAUUACCUACAAUGUGGCACUGGCAUCCCCAGCCAUGCUUUUAUCCCCCUGCAGCAGAGCAGAGAGCACACACCAAAGUUUUCCUGCAAUAGGCACGCAGACACUGAUGCUCUAAACUUCUGAAGUGCUUGUGGCUGUAGCAGGCCUGGAUUUCCUUUGAUUGCUUUGGCAAAUUCAGGAAAAUUA